rnacentral:rRNA from 1 species
AGAGUUUGAUCCUGGCUCAGGACGAACGCUGGCGGCAUGCCUAACACAUGCAAGUCGAACGGAGUAUGUUUCUUCGGAGAUAUAUUUAGUGGCGAACGGGUGAGUAACGCGUGAGCAACCUGCCUCAGUGAGGGGGAUAACACUUGGAAACAGGUGCUAAUACCGCAUGAGACCACACCGCCGCAUGACGGAGGGGUCAAAGGAGCAAUCCGCACUGAGAGGGGCUCGCGUCCCAUUAGGUAGAUGGCGGGGGAAGGGCCCACCAUGCCGACGAUGGGUAGCCGAGCUGAGAGGCUGAUCGGCCACACUGGAACUGAGACACGGUCCAGACUCCUACGGGAGGCAGCAGUGGGGAAUAUUGGGCAAUGGGGGCAACCCUGACCCAGCAACGCCGCGUGAAGGAAGAAGGCUUUCGGGUUGUAAACUUCUUUUACCGAGGACGAAGAACGUGACGGUACUCGGAGAAAAAGCCACGGCUAACUACGUGCCAGCAGCCGCGGUAAUACGUAGGUGGCAAGCGUUGUCCGGAAUUACUGGGUGUAAAGGGCGUGUAGGCGGAGCGGCAAGUCAGAAGUGAAAUCUCUGGGCUCAACCCGGAAACUGCUUUUGAAACUGUCGCCCUUGAGUAUCGGAGAGGCAGGCGGAAUUCCUAGUGUAGCGGUGAAAUGCGUAGAUAUUAGGAGGAACACCAGUGGCGAAGGCGGCCUGCUGGACGACAACUGACGCUGAGGCGCGAAAGCGUGGGGAGCAAACAGGAUUAGAUACCCUGGUAGUCCACGCCGUAAACGAUGGAUACUAGGUGUGGGGGGACUGACCCCCUCCGUGCCGCAGUUAACACAAUAAGUAUCCCACCUGGGGAGUACGAUCGCAAGAUUGAAACUCAAAGCAAUUGACGGGGGCCCGCACAAGCAGUGGAUUAUGUGGUUCAAUUCGACGCAACGCGAAGA